AUGUGUUCUGGGCCGAGCUUAGAGCUCGAGCAUCAGAGGGUGUCGAACACACAUACCAUCCGAGCACGUCCUAACGGUCAGAUACCCUUGCGUAUUGUAACGGCCGUAAACCGGAAUGAUGAGCAUUUACUGCNNNNNNNNNNNNNNCCUCCAAGCCGUUUUCCGGCAGCCACUUGAUGGCCAUUAAUGCCAUCAAGGGCCUUAGCCCAGCGCUGGGGGCUAUAUAUAUGCAUCUCCACUUCAUUUGCAAGGUACGCAUUCUAUAGCUAAGAAAACCUUACACACAUACUGACUUGAGCGUCGGAGUGCCUGCAGGUACACAACCCCCCUCCGCUCCAACAGGGGUCUCAAACGCUUUCAACCACCGCAAACGCCGGCGAAGUCGCAUCAUUCUGGUCUACACGAUCA
rnacentral:lncRNA from 1 species